rnacentral:rRNA from 1 species
AGCUCCAAUAGCGUAUAUUAAAGUUGCUGCAGUUAAAAAGCUCGUAGUUGCAUUUCCGAGGCAAGGGAUUAGUCCGACCUUUGGUGGGUAUUUAAUCCUCUUGCCUCGUCCUUGAGUGGUGCUUCUUGGUAUUAAGUUAUCGAGGAGAUAGCCGCUCAUCGUUUACUGUGAGAAAAUUAGAGUGUUCAAAGCAGGCUUAUGCCGUUGAAUAUAUUAGCAUGGAAUAAUAAGAUAGGACCUCGGUACUAUUUUGUUGGUUUGAGAACCAAGGUAAUGAUUAAUAGGGACAGUUGGGGGUAUUCGUAUUCCGUUGUCAGAGGUGAAAUUCUUAGAUUUACGGAAGACGAACUACUGCGAAAGCAUUUACCAAGGAUGUUUUCA